rnacentral:tRNA from 1 species
GCCGGUGUGGUGGAAUUGGUAGACACAACAGACGCCUUACAUCCAGUGAUCUUGAUUGGGGCAGCACCAAUGUAAAGCACCAUUAAAAUCUGUCGUGAGUAAUCACGUACCGGUUCGAGUCCGGUCAUCGGCA